CCGCUCACUAAGCGUCGCUACACAGACAGUAACAGAAAACUCCGAAGAGAGCAGGAGCCGCCGAGAGCUCCUUCAGGGCCCCACGAAAUAGUUUUUUUUUUUUUUCAUUAAAUUACAUUUUCACGGCGAACCGUGUGACGGAUAUAAUAUCUGUGCGUGACUCUAUCUACACGAUCAAGAUGAGAUUUACCAUUCUUUCGCUGACGGCUGCGCUCUGCCUCGCAUUAGUGAGCUCGCAUCCGCUUCCGGAAGACGGACUCCGAUCAGAGGCCCUCGAUCGGCUGGUGAUGGCCGAAGCCGACAGCGAGGCGGCCCUGAGGAGCAAAAGGACGAUCGGCAUUCUACGACAGCUCUUCCCCGAUAUUUCUCAGAGAAUCGAAGCGAAAGUCAACUCUAUUAUCGCGGAAGUCAUUCGCGUCCUUGGUCCGGUCAUCCUUCGCAAUGUUCUUGGCGGCGGCGGCAAUACCCAAGGUGUCCAGAGGGAUGAGGACGGCACAAGCGUUGAGGGCAAGUCGCCCUUCGACGAUGAUGACGAGGAUAAUGCCGAGUCGACGUCAACAAUCGGUUUAAACGGUUCCAAAGUGUCGAUCUCUUUACCGACGUUUCCGCCAGAUGACGUGGAAACCUCUUCUUCCACCACUUCGUCCUCAAUAACGACGAUAGAGAGCAGAGACAACUUUAAUGCUACGACAACCACUAUAGCGACACCAACGACAACACCGUCACUGACGGAAAACGAGGUCACCACUUCGCAGUGACUGUUUGACCAGCAGCUCGGUAAAAGUUUCGAGGACGUGAACCCGGAAUCGGAGAAUCGAGUGAACGAGAUCGGAUCGGAAUCGCAGAACAACGAAGUGCGGGUGCAAUUCGCGGACGAGGUGUCGAACGACAAUUCGCCGCAGGAGCUGACGCCAUUGGACGAAGUUGAGACGAACGAGGACGAGAACAGAAACAAGAGAUUCCUCUUUGGUUUAGGCGGCGGUGCCGGCGGCGGUGCUGGAUCGGGCAACUUCAUCUUCGACAUUAUCAGGCUGGUGGCCGGAAGCGGAAGCGGAGGGAGUGGUUCCGGUGGUACCACCGAGCACGGAAAGGCGGACGAAACGCAAGAGGCCGUACCCGGUCCAGUCACCAGGUUCUUCGUCAUCGCGAAUCGAGGACUCUCGAAUCUCGUCCAGGAUCUCAUACUC